UAUCAACAAAAAUCAGAGACAAAAAAGUAAAAAUUGUAUGACCUAGUUUCACGGGCACAGAAAGGGACACCGUGCGGCAGUAGUCUGCUCCGCUAGAUUACCCUCCGUCUUUUCUCAGUCGCGUCGGGAUGAAGAAAAAUUUGAUUACAAGUUUAUAGGAAGCUUACAACGGAGAAUUUGAAUACAUUGAAAGUAAAUUGAACAUUGAUUGAUGAAAACUGAACAUUACAAUUGCUGGUGCAAGGGGUGGACACCAGUAGUUUGAAAGAUUUUUGAAUGACUAAUACCCCUUAUAAUAGCAUUCGGAAUAAAAAUCUAAGUGAUGGGUGUAGACGUUUAAAUGAUGAUGAAUCAGACUAAAUGUUUACUAAUAUCAGAGCUAUUUACAACUGAAAUAACUAUUACAAUGAAAAGAAAAUUACAACUCAAAUUUGAAUUAAUAUUUACAAUGUGCGGCCGAAGUUGAGCAAACUGCAACUGCGAUCCUUGACAUUCUCUCCCAUUUGUUUUGGUGAGUCCUCGAUGCCAUCAAUGCAUGAUAAGCUUCAAUUAAUGGUUUGAAGGCUCCAAGAUCCUUUUUUCUUUCCCGAGUAUUCUCCUCGCUGCUGCAUCCAAUCCAUUUGACCAAGUACUCUUGUUGAUCUUUUCUAGAAGCUCGAGUGAUUCAAUGGUCAAGACAGCAACUUUCUUUUCAACUUUCUUCAGUUCAAACGCAGGUCGAUUUGGCUCAUUCCUAGAUGCAUCCUUCUUAUCUGCAAAGUAUAACUUUAGUACACUAACAUGAAAGACCUUGUGGAUUUUACACCAUGAAGAAAGUUCAACUCUGUAUGCGAUUCUUCCAAUCCUCUUCAUGAUGGGUAAUGGUCCAAUGUAUUUUGACACCAAUCUUGAGUCCUUUCCUCUUGUUGGUUUGUAAACAUUUCUGUUGAGAAGCUUAACCAUUACCAGUCUCCAACAUUGAAUUCAAAGAAAUGGUGCUUUAGAUCUACAGACUUUGUAUACCAUUUUUGAGCUUUCUCAAGAUAACUCCAAUUUCAAUAUUUCUUUUGCACUCUUGAGAAAAGUUCUUCGCUUGAGGAGACUUGGUACUUCGUUCGAUAUUCAUUGUAUGAGAAAGUAACGGUUGUUGGCUAGUAACAAUCUCAAAAGGACUCUUAUUGUGGAAGAGCUCUUUUAGUCAUUGAAGCAAAUCUGAGUCGCAUCCAAAAGUUUUACCUAUUUUUUCUGUGAAGUAGAGAUAAAGUACCGAAGAUACUCUUCUAGCAUAGAAUUGAAGCGCUCCAUCUGUCCGUCAGAUUGUGUGUGAAGACUAAAAUUCAUGCUCAAAGUUGAACCAAGAAGUUUGAACAACUCAGUCCAAAAUAUACCAGUGAAACGAGGAUCUCGGUCACUGAUGAUGCCCUUAGGCAGUCCCUAAUAUUUGACAAUAUGUUUGAAGAAGAGUUGAGCUGUCUUUUCCACGGAUACAUACUUAGGUGAUACAAUGAAAGUUGCGUAUUUUGAUAGACGGUCCACCACGACGAUGAUAGUGCCAAAAUUAUCAACUUUUGACAACCUAGUAAUGUAGUCCAUCGAUACACUUUCGAAUGGUCGGGUUGGGACGAAAAGGGGCUCCAACAAGCCCGCAUUUUUCUGAUGAUCUGUCUUAUCUUGUUGACAAAUAAGAUAGGUUUUUACAUAGGUUACAAUAUUGUCUUGCAUUUAAGGUAAGUAGUAUGCACGUUGCAGUGGUGCACAAGUGCGUUCUUCUCCGAGAUGCCUGCCCAAAUCGUGUUGUAGUAUUCCGUAAUUAGUGAUUUCCUCAAAUCUCCACCCUUAAGAAUAUAUAGGCAGUCUCCCUUUAUCUUCACGAGUUUCCCAUCGAGCCAAAACUAACAACUCUUACCCUGCUUGAUGAGGUUGACUAAA
rnacentral:lncRNA from 1 species